rnacentral:lncRNA from 1 species
UUUAAAGAAAGCGCCCUCUAAAGUGGAAACAUUUAAGGGUUUAGAGGGCGCUUUUACUGGAAAGCGCCCUCUAAAGUGGAAACUUUUAAGGGUUUAGAGGGCGCUUUUACUGGAAAAGCGCCCUCUAAAGUGGAAAUUUAAAGGGUUUAGAGGGCGCUUAUUUUGGGAAGCGCCCUCUAAAGUGGGUGGUUAUUUAAUUUUUUUUUUUUUAAAAAGCGCUAUAUUUUUUUAUUUAUUUUAGACAACCUGUAUAUUGAAGCAGUACACCCAAAACUGUAUAAUUUGAAGCCCUUUUUCACACAUUGCAUUCAACAAGCCUUAUAUACAACAAUCCAUACAUAUACAACAAUCCACUGAUAUAUAAUUGUUUAACUUCUAAAGAUUCUAAAUAUACAACCAAUUCAUAACUUAAAAAGAAAUAAAACUAAGUAGCAAAAGCAUCUCUGAGAUGUA